rnacentral:rRNA from 1 species
AUGAACGCUGGCGGCGUGCUUAACACAUGCAAGUCGAACGAUUAAAGCUCACUUCGGUGAGUGUAUAGAGUGGCGAACGGGUGAGUAACACGUGGGAAACCUGCCCCUUUCUUCGGGAUAACUUCGGGAAACCGUUGCUAAUACCGGAUACUCCGGGAUGGUCGCAUGGCCGACCCGGGAAAGCUUUAUGUGGAAAGGGAUGGUCCCGCGGCCCAUUAGCUCGUUGGUGGGGUAAUGGCCUACCAAGGCAAUGAUGGGUAGCCG